ACAGCAGUAGCCGCGGUAAUACAGAGGGUGCAAGCGUUAAUCGGAAUUACUGGGCGUAAAGCGCGCGUAGGUGGUUCGCCAAGUUGGAUGUGAAAUCCCCGGGCUCAACCUGGGAACUGCAUCCAAAACUGGCGAGCUAGAGUAUGGUAGAGGGUGGUGGAAUUUCCUGUGUAGCGGUGAAAUGCGUAGAUAUAGGAAGGAACAUCAGUGGCGAAGGCGACCACCUGGACUGAUACUGACACUGAGGUGCGAAAGCGUGGGGAGCAAACAGGAUUAGAUACCCCCGUAGUCCCUGUCUCUUAUAU
rnacentral:rRNA from 1 species